UUCCAGUUAUAAAAUAGGUCCUGGGAAUAUAAUGUACAGCAUGGUGACUACAGUGAAUUAAUACUGUAUUGCAUUUUUGAAAAUAGCUAAGAGUUGAUGUUGAAAG